CCAGGCCAGUGUUCCCGGAGGAAGGUCACGUGCCGGUUACACGCCACCGUUCUGCCCUUAGUGCGCAUGCUUGAGCUCACGCCCUCAACUCCUGAGAUCUUAGCGGGAAGCUGCUCAUCACCAGCUUCAGCACUGCCUCCACGGGGCACCUCCCAUCACCUCUGCGCAGCCCAGCCCUGGACACGCGGACACCUCUCAGAGCAGAAUGGAGGGGAAGAGAAAGCUCAGAAGCAAUUGGAAAAGAGAGAUUAAAGUUGGCGUCACUCUCUUGAAAGCCGACUGCAGAAUGUGAACGUUGAUUGUAUAGCACAUACUUUGCCUUUAAUGGAAGAAUGAAGUGAAAGACAUUCCAUGAUAUUCAGUCAGAAGAAGAAAGGCCUGUACCCUGGUUCCAGUAGAAUAGCCAUUAUUAAGUAAAACCAAAUAGAAAAAGAAAGUGGAUUGGAAUGGGAAGAAACAAGGAGAAUACAAUGUGAAUCAUAUGGAAAUGAAAUAAAAAAUUUAAAAUGAGGCAGAUGUGCGGGAA